CAGCCGUGUGGUAAGCACAAAGCCAACUAUUCUUUCGCCUUUUACUAAAGAAUACCGUGUGCUUGCCAUAUAUAAGCGGCAUACACCUAUUAUAUUAAUUUAAUAAUUUGUAAGUUUGU